AGCGAACGCUGGCGGCAGGCCUAACACAUGCAAGUCGAACGAAGCCUUCGGGCUUAGUGGCGGACGGGUGAGUAACACGUGGGAACGUACCUUUUGGUUCGGAACAACUCAGGGAAACUUGAGCUAAUACCGGAUGAGCCCUUAGGGGGAAAGAUUUAUCGCCGAAAGAGCGGCCCGCGUUAGAUUAGCUAGUUGGUGAGGUAAAGGCUCACCAAGGCUACGAUCUAUAGCUGGUCUGAGAGGAUGAUGAGCCACACUGGGACUGAGACACGGCCCAGACUCCUACGGGAGGCAGCAGUGGGGAAUCUUGCGCAAUGGGCGAAAGCCUGACGCAGCCAUGCCGCGUGAAUGAUGAAGGUCUUAGGAUUGUAAAAUUCUUUUGUCCGGGAAGAUAAUGACUGUACCGGAAGAAUAAGCCCCGGCUAACUUCGUGCCAGCCGCCGCGGUAA
rnacentral:rRNA from 1 species